rnacentral:rRNA from 1 species
CCCUUAGAGUUUGAUCCUGGCUCAGGACGAACGCUUGCGGCGUGCCUAAGAAAUGCAAGUCGAACGGGCAUUCCAGCAAUGGGGUGUCAGUGGCGAACGGUCGCGUAACACGUAGGCAACCUGCCUCAAAGUGGGGGAUAACAACCCGAAAGGGUUGCUAAUACCGCAUGUGGCCACUCUCUCGCAUGAGGGAUUGUCUAAAGGGUCCGGGUAGAACCGGACUUGCUUUGAGAUGGGCUUGCGGCCUAUCAGCUAGUUGGUGGGGUAACGGCCUACCAAGGCGUUGACGGGUAGCUGGUCUGAGAGGAUGGUCAGCCGGAUUGGGACUGAGAUACGGCCCAGACUCCUACGGGGGGCAGCAAUUAGGAAUCUUGCGCAAUGGGGGCAACCCUGACGCAGCGACGCCGCGUGAAGGAUGACGGCAUUCGUGUCGUAAACUUCUUUUAUCGGGGAAGAAACAAAUGACGGUACCCGAUGAAUAAGCCCCGGCUAACUACGUGCCAGCAGCCGCGGUAAUACGUAGGGGGCGAGCGUUGUCCGAAGUUACUGGGCGUAAAGCGCGCGUAGGCGGGCCUUUAAGUCUGGUGUGAAAAGGUUGAGGGCUCAACCCCAACAGUGCACUGGAUACUUUAGGCCUUGAGUUGGGCAGAGGAGAGUGGAAUUCCUGGUGUAGCGGUGAAAUGCGUAGAUAUCAGAGAAC